rnacentral:rRNA from 1 species
GACGAACGCUGGCGGCGUGCUUAACACAUGCAAGUCGAACGGAAAGGCCCUGCUUUUGUGGGGUGCUCGAGUGGCGAACGGGUGAGUAACACGUGAGUAACCUGCCCUUGACUUUGGGAUAACUUCAGGAAACUGGGGCUAAUACCGGAUAGGAGCUCCUGCUGCAUGGUGGGGGUUGGAAAGUUUCGGUGGUUGGGGAUGGACUCGCGGCUUAUCAGCUUGUUGGUGGGGUAGUGGCUUACCAAGGCUUUGACGGGUAGCCGGCCUGAGAGGGUGACCGGCCACAUUGGGACUGAGAUACGGCCCAGACUCCUACGGGAGGCAGCAGUGGGGAAUAUUGCACAAUGGGCGGAAGCCUGAUGCAGCAACGCCGCGUGCGGGAUGACGGCCUUCGGGUUGUAAACCGCUUUCGCCUGUGACGAAGCGUGAGUGAUGGUAAUGGGUAAAGAAGCACCGGCUAACUACGUG